CCUAGCGGCGGACGGGUGAGUAAUGGCUUAGGAAUCUGCCUAUUAGUGGGGGACAACAUUCCGAAAGGAAUGCUAAUACCGCAUACGCCCUACGGGGGAAAGCAGGGGAUCUUCGGACCUUGCGCUAAUAGAUGAGCCUAAGUCAGAUUAGCUAGUUGGUGGGGUAAAGGCCUACCAAGGCGACGAUCUGUAGCGGGUCUGAGAGGAUGAUCCGCCACACUGGGACUGAGACACGGCCCAGACUCCUACGGGAGGCAGCAGUGGGGAAUAUUGGACAAUGGGCGAAAGCCUGAUCCAGCCAUGCCGCGUGUGUGAAGAAGGCCUUUUGGUUGUAAAGCACUUUAAGCGAGGAGGAGGCUACUUGAUUAAUACUCUAGGAUAGUGGACGUUACUCGCAGAAUAAGCACCGGCUAACUCUGUGCCAGCAGCCGCGG
rnacentral:rRNA from 1 species